GCCACCUUAGCUCAGUUGGUAGAGCAGCGCAUUCGUAAUGCGCGGGUCGCGAGUUCGAGUCUCGUGGGUGGCU
rnacentral:tRNA from 1 species